UACGGCGGUUAUGGCGAAGGGGAAACACCCGGUUACAUUCCGAACCCGGAAGUUAAGCUCUUCAGCGCCGAUGGUACUGCACUCGGGAGGGUGUGGGAGAGUAGGUCGCCGCCGGAC
rnacentral:rRNA from 5 species